GACGAACGCUGGCGGCGUGCCUAACACAUGCAAGUCGAACGGAGUGAUGAUUUCGGUUAUCACUUAGUGGCGAACGGGUGAGUAACGCGUGAGAAACCUGCCUUUCAGUGGGGGACAACAGUUGGAAACGACUGCUAAUACCGCAUAAUGUCAUUUGGGGGCAUCCCUGGAUGACCAAAGAUUUAUUGCUGAAAGAUGGUCUCGCGUCUGAUUAGCUGGUUGGUGGGGUAACGGCUCACCAAGGCGACGAUCAGUAGCCGACCUGAGAGGGUGACCGGCCACAUUGGGACUGAGACACGGCCCAA
rnacentral:rRNA from 1 species